GAUGAUGGCCAUGCCACCCUGAACCUGCCUGGUGCCAGCUGAUCUCAGAAGCUAAGCAGGGUAGGGCCUGUUAAUAUUCAGAUGAAAGGAGGCCUUCUAAU
rnacentral:rRNA from 1 species